GUGGUUCCGGGUUCUACGGUUGUUCUGGGUCUCCUCGUCGAGGUGAGAUGGAACACUCUAACUGAGGGUAGCGUGAGAGUUACUUCAGAAAAUAUUUGAGUGUAGAUAUGUGAUAUAGAGACGACAUAAGAGUAAUAUGAUCAUACGAAGGAGGAUACUACUGUGGUAUCUGCUCGUGCACAUUACACUCACCAAUGCUCAAGAAGCUAAAUUUGCAGUCACCGACGACGCUGAGGAUGUUGUAGUGGAUCCAAGUCCCUACUGCGACCUCAUGAGCGUCGCUGAGCUCUACAAGUCUGUCAAAAGUGCUUCUGUGGAACAAGUGGCUGAAUCCCUGGUAUCACCGACGAAGAUUUGAUAUCUGUUCCUUCCGGGAUCAGCAACUGUUGUUCCUCCAGCCUCUCGUGUUACUUCAGAGGAGGAAUCUGCUUGCCCUCUUGGUUGGAAAUCUUCUUCUCUUGCUCUGAAGCGAAUCUUUGCUACAGCAGCUCUUGCACCUGCUUCAGGCCUAAGAACUCUUGCACAUCAUGUGCAGGCUCUUGUGGGAGCGGUGGCACCUGUCGUUCAAGUUGCAUUUAUCCCGGAGGUAGCAGCUCCUUACAACUGCGGGAUACUGCCUGGAUGUACUUGCUGCAUGCAAUGUCCGUCUACCUGCACCGGUGGAGGAACUUGCAGGGCUGUUUGCAACAGAGACGAGACAGACACCGGAUCGUGCAAUGGCCUGAGGGCGUGUCGCUGCUGUAAGGAAAGUUGCUGGGGCCUGGAUUGUGGGAGGAAUGGAUACUGCAGUGACGACUGUGAUGAUUAUCAAAUUGCGAGGGCCAAGAGGGACGCACGUUCUUUUGAUAUUGGAUGCCCUAAUGCCUGCCAGUGCUGUCCAUAUGGCGGACCAAUUCCUAUGGAGACUGUGGAGACUGUGGAGCCUGAGGAGCCUGUGGAGCCUGUGGAUGCUUAGUGAAUGCAAUCAGUUCUGCGGAUGCUUAGUGAAUGCAAGCAGUUCUGCGGAUGCUUAGUUAAUGCAAGCAGUUCUAGGGUUGCCUGUGUCUUCCUGUUGCAACAGAACUUUCCCCUUCUUCUUUUGAGGAUGGAUAACAACGUUUUAGUAGCUAAAUCUCACAGUAUACGUGUAUGCUCUGUACUGCAGAACUGUUUUAUCCUGCCAAGUAUUCAGGGCAGCAUAUCAAGAGGGAAAAAUCUAAACAUGAAUAUCUGAAAGCAGACAUAUUUGACUACUGCACUCACUUCAGUUUUUGAACUUGAAUGUAAUAAACAUUUGAUAUCUUGUCUAGGACCUCAAACUUCUUACAAAUAGUUGCAAUGACUUUUAUUCUCGACCUGCAGAUUAAAGUAAAUUUUUUAAUUUCUUAUAUUUUUUUUAACAUCGAAAUUCAGUGCCAGGUUUAUCCAACUGCCAAGAACACUUAAUUACUUCAUUUACAUACUUAUAGUUUAGAUAGGUAGAUUAGAGCCAGUAACCCGUUUGUUGGGGGGGG